rnacentral:rRNA from 1 species
CCUACGGGAGGCAGCAGUGGGGAAUAUUGGGCAAUGGGCGCAAGCCUGAUGCAGCAACGCCGCGUGAAGGAAGAAGGCUUUCGGGUUGUAAACUUCUUUUGACGGGGAAGAGCAGAAUACGGUUACUGCCUAAUAAGCCACGGCUAACUACGUGCAAGCAGCCGCGGUAAUACGUAGGUGGCAAGCGUUGUCCGGAAUUACUGGGUGGAAAGGGCGUGUAGCCGGGCUGAUAAGUCAGAUGUGAAAUCCGGGGGCUCAACCCCCGAACUGCAUUUGAAACUGUUGGUCUUGAGUAUCGGAGAGGCAGGCGGAAUUCCAGGUGUAGCGGUGAAAUGCGUAGAUAUUAGGAGGAACACCAGUGGCGAAGGCGGCCUGCUGGACGACAACUGACGGUGAGGCGCGAAAGCGUGGGGAGCAAACAGGAUUAGAUACCCCAGUAGUC